UGAUUUGUUGUUUUUGUUGGUUGAAUUUUUUCGAAGAUAACUGAUAUUUUGAAGAAAAAAGUGGUUGAAAAAAGUUUCUUCUCCAAAAGACGAACAAAUUAAAAAAAAUAUGAGAAGAAAAGAAAAGCAAAAGAAAUUGAAAAGUCAAACAAUGUUGAUGACGAUGUUGAAAACUCUUUGUGCUAAUGAAUCUGAAGAAGAUAUGGAGGAAGAGUUGUUCUGGCUGAGAUACAAAAAUUAGCUGAGAUUAUCUCAUUGUGUCUCAAGAUUGUAAUUUCUACGAAAAGAAAGGGACUGUGGUCUGUAUAUGGUAACAUACGUAGAGUGUCUUUCUUAUGGUAAAAGAGUUCCUUUGAUUAAGUUCAACCCCAACACACUUCGUACAUGUUAUGCUGCACUAUUGUAGGACUAUAUAUGGCAUGAGAAAACAAGAAGCAAAUGCUCAUAGCGAUGUCGAAGCACCCUUGAGGCCUGACAGGGAAAACCGAAUAACUAGUGUCACUAAAGUUUUAGAAAUAUGAUGAUUGUUGAAUUUAUUACAUUGGAUAGUCGACAAACUGCUGUAUGGAUGUUGUUUUUUUUUUUUUUGUACAAACUUAUUUCAUGUUUUGAAGUGUUUAAAUGUUACUUAUUUUGAAGUGAAUGAAAGUAAUUCAUUUCUUUUGUAUAAGUUGAAUAUGUUUUCAACAAUUUUGUACUAUGUGUUUUACUCUAGUGUUCAAUAAUAUUGGUUGCAGUGCGAUUGACCUCUG